rnacentral:rRNA from 1 species
UACGUAGGUGGCAAGCGUUGUCCGGAAUUAUUGGGCGUAAAGCGCGCGCAGGCGGUCCUUUAAGUCUGAUGUGAAAGCCCACGGCUCAACCGUGGAGGGUCAUUGGAAACUGGGGGACUUGAGUACAGAAGAGAAGAGUGGAAUUCCACGUGUAGCGGUGAAAUGCGUAGAGAUGUGGAGGAACACCAGUGGCGAAGGCGACUCUUGGUCUGUAACUGACGCUGAGGCGCGAAAGCGUGGGUAGCAAACAGG